AAUGUAGUUAAAUAGUCAUGACAUUUUGGGGAAAUGAAACUCACCUUGAGUUAUUGGUUAGCCUAUUUUUGGAAUGUGGAAAAAUGUGAUCAGGGUGAUAUGGACUCAGAUAUAAUUAUGUUUCCUGAUCCUUUACUGAGAAGAAAGGAACAUCUUGAAUCCACCUUUUUCUAACAUGAGCCAGAGCAUGGACCAGUCAAUUUCCUGAGCUGUGAUGGAUCAAUGUUAAUGGAUUUAUAUGAUGAAUGAACGUGCCCUUGCCUUCAUCUACAAUUCAUAUUUUUGGGGCUUACAUUGACUCACCAACCUAGAUAUAUGUUUCCUUAUAUAAAAUGAAAUGUAGAAUAGGAAACCUUGGACAAUACUAUUACGGUGUCAAAAAG